GGCCCUGUAGUCCAAUGGAUAGAACAGCCCCCUCCUAAGGGGCAGAUCCAGGUUCGAUUCCUGGCGGGGCCGCCA
rnacentral:tRNA from 1 species